GCAAUAGAAUAGGAUUUUUCAAGGGUGGUCGGCACACUCCCAAACAGAAAGGGGGUGAUGCUGUAUGACAGUUUUUCAAGCUUUGAUGCUUGCAAUAUCUUUUGCCAGUCUAGUCAUUGCGAUUCUGUCAUUUCAUAACCAUAAAAAAUAAUCCACCCUUGAGUUAGAAGGCUCAGGUGGAUUAUUCUACCCAUAUAGCCGACCCCCUUAGAGGGAGCCGUCUAUUGCUGGACCGGACAUGUUGCUGCAUGUUCG
rnacentral:sRNA from 1 species